rnacentral:rRNA from 1 species
AACGAACGUUGGCGGCGUGGAUUAGGCAUGCAAGUCGAGCGAAUCCCCGCAAGGGGGGAAGCGGCGAAAGGGGCAGUAAGGCAUGGGUAACCUACCCUGGGGACUGGGAUAGCCCUUCGAGAGAAGGGGUAAUACCGGGCGACGUGUCGGGCCGGCAUCGGUCUGCCACCAAAUGAAUUUCGCCCUGGGAGGGGCCCAUGUGAUAUUAGCUAGUUGGUGAGGUAACGGCUCACCAAGGCGAAGAUGUCUAGCGGGUGUGAGAGCACGACCCGCGCCACUGGCACUGAGACACUGGCCAGACACCUACGGGUGGCUGCAGUCGAGGAUCUUCGGCAAUGGGCGCAAGCCUGACCGAGCGACGCCGCGUGUGCGAUGAAGGCCUUCGGGUUGUAAAGCACUGUCGAGAGGGAGAAAAGCGAAAGCUUGAUCUAUCUCUGGAGGAAGCACGGGCUAAGUUCGUGCCAGCAGCCGCAGUAACAC